CCAGACUCCUACGGGAGGCAGCAGUGGGGGAUAUUGCACAAUGGGGGGAACCCUGAUGCAGCGACGCCGCGUGGGUGAAGAAGCGCCUCGGCGCGUAAAGCCCUGUCAGCAGGGAAGAAAAUGACGGUACCUGAAGAAGAAGCCCCGGCUAACUACGUGCCAGCAGCCGCGGUAAUACGUAGGGGGCAAGCGUUAUCCGGAUUUACUGGGUGUAAAGGGGGCGCAGACGGCGAUGCAAGCCAGGAGUGAAAGCCCGGGGCCCAACCCCGGGACUGCUCUGGAAACUGCGGCGCUGGAGUACGGGAGGGGCAGGCGGAAUUCCUGGUGUAGCGGUGAAAUGCGUAGAUAUCAGGAGGAACACCGGCGGCGAAGGCGGCCUGCUGGGCUUUUACUGACGCUGAGGUUCGAAAGUGUGGGGAGCAAACAGGAUUAGAUACCCGUGUAUAC
rnacentral:rRNA from 1 species